CACGUAGGGUGCGAGCGUUGUCCGGAAUUAUUGGGCGUAAAGAGCUCGUAGGCGGUGUGUCGCGUCGGCCGUGAAAAACCUGCAGCUUAACUGUGGGCUUGCGGUCGAUACGGGGCAUCACUGGAGUUCGGCAGGGGAGACUGGAAUUCCUGGUGUAGCGGUGAAAUGCGUAGAUAUCAAAGAGGGAACACCUACGGCGAAGGCGGGUUGCUGGGCCGACACUGACGCUGAGGCGCGGAAAAGCCCAGG
rnacentral:rRNA from 1 species